rnacentral:rRNA from 1 species
UACGGGGGGGGCAAGCGUUGUUCGGAAUUACUGGGCGUAAAGGGCUUGUAGGUGGCCAACUAAGUCAGACGUGAAAUCCCUCAGCUUAACUGGGGAACUGCUUCUGAUACUGGAUGGCUUGAGUUUGGGAGAGGGAUGCGGAAUUCCAGGUGUAGCGGUGAAAUGCGUAGAUAUCUGGAGGAACACCGGUGGCGAAGGCGGCAUCCUGGACCAUUACUGACACUGAAAAGCGAAAGCCAGGGGGGCAAACGGG